rnacentral:rRNA from 1 species
GUUAUCGUUUAUUUGAUAAUACCUUACUACUUGGAUAACCGUGGUAAUUCUAGAGCUAAUACAUGCUGAAAAUCCCGACUUCGGAAGGGAUGUGUUUAUUAGAUAAAAAACCAAUGCCCUUCGGGGCUUUUUGGUGAUUCAUGAUAACUUUACGGAUCGCAUAGCCUUGCGCUGGCGACGGUUCAUUCAAAUUUCUGCCCUAUCAACUUUCGAUGGUAAGGUAUUGGCUUACCAUGGUUUCAACGGGUAACGGGGAAUUAGGGUUCGAUUCCGGAGAGGGAGCCUGAGAAACGGCUACCACAUCCAAGGAAGGCAGCAGGCGCGCAAAUUACCCAAUCCCGACACGGGGAGGUAGUGACAAUAAAUACUGAUACAGGGCUCCUUUGGGUCUUGUAAUUGGAAUGAGUACAAUUUAAACCUCUUAACGAGGAACAAUUGGAGGGCAAGUCUGGUGCCAGCAGCCGCGGUAAUUCCAGCUCCAAUAGCGUAUAUUAAAGUUGUUGCAGUUAAAAAGCUCGUAGUUGAAACUUGG